UACGUAGGCAGCGAGCGUUGUUCGGAGUUACUGGGCGUAAAGCGUGCGUAGGCGGUGUCUUAAGUUUGUUGUGAAAUCUCCCGGCUUAACCGGGAGGGUGCGGCGAAUACUGAGAUGCUGGAGUGCGGGAGAGGUAAGCGGAGUUCCCGGUGUAGCGGUGAAAUGCGUAGAUAUCGGGAGGAACACCUGAGAUGUAGAUGGCUUACUGGACCGUAACUGACGCUGAGGCACGAAAGCGUGGGUAGCAAACAGG
rnacentral:rRNA from 1 species